rnacentral:lncRNA from 1 species
ACAUCUGCUGUCGGCUGGUUUUGUUGAGGUCCUGACCACAGAGGCGCGCAGCAAUGAAGUGGCCCCGGAAGGCCGGGAUGAGGGUGACUGUGGCCACAAAUCCCAGCAGCGAGACGAUCAAAUUGAUCAGCAGCGGCAUGGGCAAUUCCGAGAAGGCCCACAUGGUGACCGGUCAGGGGCCCGGCUCCGCCGCCUCUUCAGGUAACGGGCAAGCUGAGCAGCAGUCCUGAGGCCUCAGCAGUAUGGAGUGGCCGCUCCCCACAGGCAGGCUCUUCCCACACCAAUCUGAGCAAAACCCAGCAACUCUGACUUGAGCCGCCGUCGGGACACCGGGGAACCUCUCUAAGGCAACCUAUGUUCUGCCCCGCUGCACCCGCCUAUCUACUGUUUCCGCCCGGAUCUUGUUCGCUGAACAACCAUUACUGCGGAAGGCGGCGGCCGCCAUUUUUAAUAUGGGCAUUAGAGGGUGGGGAUGGAAGUGGAAGAGAAGUGUGAUUCCAAAUUUCAUCCUAUGUUCAAGAGUAGAAUCACCGAGAGAGUACUGGAAACGCAAUUAAAGAAAGGCAGCCAAGAACG